rnacentral:rRNA from 1 species
CACACCGCCCGUCACACCACGAAAGUUUGCCAUGCCCGAAGCCGGUGAGCCAACCGCAAGGAAGCAGCCGUCUAAGGUAGGACAGAUGAUUGGGGUG